UACGUAGGGGGCAAGCGUUGUCCGGAUUUAUUGGGCGUAAAGAGCGUGUAGGCGGCCAGACAGGUCCGUUGUGAAAACUAGAGGCUUAACCUCUAGACGUCGAUGGAAACCGUUUGGCUAGAGUCCGGAAGAGGAGAAUGGAAUUCCUGGCGUAGCGGUGAAAUGCGCAGAUAUCAGGAAGAACACCCGUGGCUAAGGCGGUUCUCUAGUACGGUACUGACGCUGAGACGCGAAAGCGUGGGGAGCGAACAGG
rnacentral:rRNA from 1 species